GCAUCAGUGGUACAAUGCUCGCCUGCCACGCGGGUGGCCCGGGUUCGAUUCCCGGCCGAUGCA
rnacentral:tRNA from 1 species